GUUUCCCAUAGUCCUUAUGGUGCCUGACUGUCGUUAUCAACUUCUGACUCAUUCUAACACACUGCUUUACCUUGGCUGUAAGCUGGGAACCCUGCUAUCAGAAAUUCAUGUCAAAUGUCCACAGAAACCCAAUCAGCAACACUACUUUCAAAGUGUCUUUUGACAAGUAAUAUGUGCAUUUUACAAAUCCAAAGGCAAUAUUUGAAGUAGCUCUUCAAAACAGCUGCAUUACUCAAAGCUAUCUCUGUAUCAUCGCCUUGUUUCCUGGAAGAAAAUGUGGAAAUGUGUACUGAAAAU
rnacentral:lncRNA from 1 species